GAGUCAGGUUUUUUACGAGGACCCUGCUUCCUGGGAACAGUUAUUGUCGGAUUCAAGCCCGAAGAGAGCAUCGAUGGGCAACUUUGGUGAGCGUCCGAACAGCAAUUGGAAAGCUUUUUGUCUUUCAGUCAGGGUUUUCAGCAUCUGCAAUAAUGUCCGGUUAAACCGUUCCACCUGCCCAUUCCCCUGGGGGUGGUAGGGGGUGGUCCUUGAGCCGGCAAC